CUCCCUGAGAUUAGCGGCGGACGGGUGAGUAACACGUGGGCAACCUGCCUAUAAGACUGGGAUAACUUCGGGAAACCGGAGCUAAUACCGGAUACGUUCUUUUCUCGCAUGAGAGAAGAUGGAAAGACGGUUUACGCUGUCACUUAUAGAUGGGCCCGCGGCGCAUUAGCUAGUUGGUGAGGUAAUGGCUCACCAAGGCGACGAUGCGUAGCCGACCUGAGAGGGUGAUCGGCCACACUGGGACUGAGACACGGCCCAGACUCCUACGGGAGGCAGCAGUAGGGAAUCUUCCGCAAUGGACGAAAGUCUGACGGAGCAACGCCGCGUGAACGAAGAAGGCCUUCGGGUCGUAAAGUUCUGUUGUUAGGGAAGAACAAGUACCAGAGUAACUGCUGGUACCUUGACGGUACCUAACCAGAAAGCCACGGCUAACUACGUGCCAGCAGCCGCGGUAAUACGUAGGUGGCAAGCGUUGUCCGGAAUUAUUGGGCGUAAAGCGCGCGCAGGUGGUUCCUUAAGUCUGAUGUGAAAGCCCACGGCUCAACCGUGGAGGGUCAUUGGAAACUGGGGAACUUGAGUGCAGAAGAGGAAAGUGGAAUU
rnacentral:rRNA from 1 species